GACCACUCUGGUGGCCUAAAUGGUUAGAUCAUCCGCCUCGGAUGCAGGAGGUCACGGGUUCGAACCCCGGGCGGGCCA